CCUUAUAAGAAGGAAACCUAUGGAAGUCAUUCCAAAAAGUGCCAUUGUGGUUCAAGGAUGAGAUCAUAGUGGAGAAUCAAGUGCUCAUUUUCAUCAAAUUAAAGUCUGAGUGUCCAGAGAGCAAGCAUCUAAACUGGACACACGUGAUGUCAUUUCCAGGUCCCACAAUAUCUCACCUAUGUGCUCGUUUAGUGUUAAAAUCGACUUCUAAGUAUCAAACACUUGAGACAAGAUGCUCUUUGUGCUUUACAGUUGGUUGAAGUUGCUUAAUCUAAGAGACCUGAGCAAGUUUUUUUCCUUCAGUCUUGUUUUCACCUUUCUUCAUUAUCUUAAAUAGCUACCUUCACCUGUUACUUUUCUUUCCUCCUCUCCUCUGUCCUCUUACUCCUCUGCCUUGCAUUUCAUCUUCUUCACUUUUGUUCUCUUUGUUUGUCCAAGGCACUGUUUGCCCUCUCUCUGAUUGACCUUUCUAGCUCCCCAUGGAAUUACCAAACUCUUGCUACCCCCGCCCCUGUUCUUCCCCAUCUGGGGUUCAGUGCAAAAAGCUGACCUGCAGCCUAUAUUUGAAGAUUUCUCUAGUCAAGAUUACCUUUCCCUGGUACCUCCAUUUUAUAAUUGGAAAAUUCCAACCCAGAGUGACUUCUUUAAGGCCAUGGCUGACAAAACUCAAGCCCUAGAAUGUUAUACUGGUGACCACCUUACAUGAGUCGAAAGCUCUUUCUAUGAACUCCAAGAGCAUUUAUCAUUUUCAUCAGUCUUGCGACAAAAUGGCUCCCAUAGUUGGUUUUAAUAAGGAUCUCAAGGGUGCCUGGUCUUUGUAUCCAUUCUUGGAAUUCAGAGGUGCCCAGCAGGUUUUACUGGCUCCUUGACUGUGUGAAAGACCCCAAGCUGUUAGGAAGAAAUGAUGCUGAGUACUUCGAGUACUUUCCUAGAUGCUAAGAUUAAGAGUCUCAAACUAGCACAGGGAUUUUAAAACUAUGGCAAAGUCUUGGUAAAAAAAGAAAUGAUCGUUGGAGAAAAGCAGUUUUCCCAAAUGCAUGGCCAAGUUGAAGAUUGUAUGUCCCAUCCUGUGACACAAACAGAGAGUUGGGGAGGAAUACCAGGUGACAGAGGACCAGUGGCCCAGACUCAGGGGGAAAUAUGACAAAGAAAAGGUAAAUUAGGCACACAUCGAACACCCCAAAACUGCUAUAUUAGAUAAUAGUAGCAAACACUUCCUAGUAGCCUACUAUGUGCCACCCUAAAUGCAUGUCAUCUCAUUUGGUCUUCAAAAUGAGGUGGGUACUCAUUUAUUAGCCCCAAUUUUCCCAGCAUGGAAAUUGAGUCUUAAUUAUUAAUUUGCACAAAGUCAUAGUUAGGAGGUUGUGGAAGUUGAAUUUGAACCCAUGCAUUCUGACUCCAAAGUCUAAGCUGGAAAUCACUAACAUUACUGUCUAAGGAUGGUUGAAACAGGUGUCACAUGUAGAACCUUCUCCUUGGUGCAGGGGCGAACUAACAGCUCUCAGUGGAGCAGCUGGAGCCCAGGCAGGCUGGAAUCCUCAGCCUCCACAGGGAUUGGCUGUAGCAAAACUGAGAGUGGAUGGAGAGCCAGAGCAGAGCCCGCAGCAGCGGUGGUGUGGGGUGUCUGGGGGAGCUAUAAUGGUGGUGUUCCCAGCAGCAGCUGAAUUACCUGGGGUAAGAGAGGCUACACAUGGCCCUACACAAGAGGACUGCAGGGACCAGCUGCCUUAGGGUGGCCGACGGCUUGUUUGGGAGCCUUAAUAACCAAAUAGAUGGGGACAGGACUCAAAUGUUUUUAUUCCUCAUCUCUGAAUGUUCAGUUUAUGUAUGUUGUCUUCCCAGCAUCACUGUAAUCUCAGGGAGGGCAGGAGUGAGCUUUCCAUUUCUUUAGCCCCACAUAACGAAGACACCCAACACCAAUUUAUUUACUUAGAGACUAUGCAUUCACCCACGUUUUGGGAAGAACUCAAUCCCAUACACUGAUUAUUUCAGCCUGCUAGGAACUAGUGCUUCAGAACAAAAGUAGUCAAUUCUUUGAAAAAACUCCUUCAAAGUGUUACUCCAGGAGUGUGCACACAUGUAUCUGAGGAAGGAGAGAAAUGUGGCAUUUAUUGUGCAUCUUCUAUGAGCCAGGUACCAUGCCAGACACACUACAAAUGUUAGCUCAUUGAAUCCUUCACUGGGUGGAUAACGUAGGGAAAAUUAAUAUGCAUUUUGUACAGAUGCAAAAACUUAGCAGCUUGAACUCACACAGUUAAUGAAUCAUGAAAGCCCAGGUCACUCUGGCUCCAAAACCCAUCCUUUCCACCUUUUCACUGAAAGACUUGUCAAGUAGAGAAUUGGGUUUUUGUAAGAUAAGAUUUUCCUGCUCCCCUAAGUCCCUGGGGCCACUGGCUUUGGGCCUCCACGAGUGUCUUUCUAAGCUCUAGGUUUCCUACGCUGCUCCUGAGGCUGCUGUCAAUGGGACGGACAAACAAAUCCUAGGCAACACGACACUGAUACAAACACGCACAUGGUGGAUGAACUGAGCACCCAUGGCUCUGGCCCCUCCUUCCAUAUCAGAACAAUGAGCACUCUCAGAGUAUGUUUGAACAAGUACUGUCCUACCCAGCAACUGGGUUUUCAAGACAGCUUCAACAGCUCCUUCCCCUUUACAUACAGUGUGUCUGAUGACUCUCCACACAGCUCCUUCCCUCCUGUGUUCCUCCAAAAGUGCUCAGAGACCUCUUCUGAGCAUGGCCCCGUGUCAUGCUCCAGGAUAUCCUCACCAUUCACAGAGGAGGAGAAUGGAGCUUUCUGUCCAUAAAAUUACCUCACAGCAAUAGAGCUUUCUCUGGAGCCUCUCAGCCUUGACCCCAAGUGCUACAGUAAAAGAAAAAGAAAGCUGGGGCAAUAAAUAAACCAAGAAGAAAAGAGAGCUCUCUUCCCCAAGUUCAGGAAAACUCUGAGGAAACAUUAAACCAAGCUCACUCGGUCUGUUUCUAACAUCUUCACCAAAAAACUGCAGUCAGUGAGCCUAACGGAGCUGGCGUUCUACAGCCAGUUGUGUGUGAAGACAGUGACACUCCACUCACAGAGCCCAAGGUGAGAUGCUGCCAAAUACGCUCUCUUGUGUGCGAAAAGUGAGAGGAGGAAAGGCUGCAGUGGGAAAGAGCCGCAGGAGGUCACCCAAGUCAGCGCUCUGCUUCCAAGAAGCAAGGCCACACUCCCUCUUUCCCUCCUCGUCCCCUUCAGCAGCAGGAACCCCAUGACUCUCAGCAAUGACCUGUUUGGAGACCCAACAGCCUCACCAGCCACUUGAGUGUAAAGGGACAACAAUCGUUAGCACGUCUCCCAGGCAGCGCUCCUUGUGCCCACAGGAUCACUAAGUCUGCCCGAAAGGAACUCCUCCAUCUUCCAGCCUCGCUCCCUCCUCGCUGGAGACCAAAACCAAUCCAGGUUUGGAUGAAGGAAGAGAAAAAGGGGAAUAUUUGUUCGAAUCUUUUUGGACUUCACAACACCCGAGGUCUUAUUUAUGCGUGGGUUUCCAGCUGUGCAUGACAUAAGUUGUUGAAAACUGGCACAUCUUUCCAUCAGCAAGCACAGCACAACCACAAGUUUGGCAAGCAGUUCAUGCUGCCAGAUGCCUUCUCUGUUUCUUAAACUAUGUAUUCAAGUCACUCCACUUUUUCCUUGCUGGAAAUACUUUCAAAGAAGAACACAAUGUUUUGGGUUGCCUGGCCAACAUUUAGCUGUACUUUUGCAUCUUUGCCAAACUUCCUGUUUUUAGCAAAACAAUUUAUUAUCUUGCUGGUUCUUUAGACUCAAAAGGAUUUCAGGCACAAAUAACUACUUGGUUUCCAUGUCUUUUCAGAGAAGAAACUCAUUUGCUUUCCCAUAAUUAUCCCGUAGAUGCAAGAACAGAAACAUAUUUAACCUUUGGGAGUGCUACUGAGGUGUAGAAAAGGUUUUAAUUAUUCAAAACCUCUACAGUCUGAACUUUAAAGAACUGACAAUUAUUUUUUGUGCGCAAGGAAAAUAAUUAUUUUCAGGUGGUUUGGCAAGAUCACAGAUUUGCCGCACGUGGUAUUGUAGAAGCAAGUUUGGAGUGAGUUUGAUUUGGAGGCCAAGGUUAGACUAAAGAGAUUUAAUUAAUCAGCAGCAAUCAAAGAAAGCAUUCGCCCAGACACUUUUAUGAAUAGUUCAUCUCUGAUUACUAAGCCACACAGCCACUCUUUGACUUCAUCAGAAAACAAAACAAAACCAAACGAAAACUAAACAGUGAGAGCCUUUCCCAUCUCCACCUAGCAGCCACCCGGCCUGACUAUCAACCAAUAAAUAGACUGAGAAGAAACAAUCUCCCAACUUGAUUAGACUGAGGUGGCCACGUAUAUGCAGUGCCAAUUUUCUUCUACAAAAUUAUACUACCUACAAAUAGAACGUAUUUUGAGUAACACCAUGCACAGACACACAUAGCCAUUUAGAUAGUCUUCUAUAGUACAGAUGUGCUGUACUGUAGCACAGCAAUAUUGAUAACGGUGCGGUUAAUUCUUCAGAGAAAUGCAUUUCUAAGGUAGAAUGUAUUUCAACUUAAGCUUCAACCACAAUUUCUCCAGGACUUUCAAAAAUUACUUCAUACUACCUGCAAAGACCCAGGAACUGAUAAUGUUGAUUUCCUGUAUGUUCAUGCUUCAAAGACCUUAGAAUUCUUUGAUGGUGACUUAGCAACCACUAUAAAAAUAAUGUCUCCUUAAAACAGAGUCAAAGAGUAAGACACUUUAGAGGAAAUGGUUAAUAUUAAUGAGAGGGUACAGUGGAGUCUGACAAUAGCCCAGCAUCAGCACUUUGGGAGGAAUGCUUCUAACUUAGGCAAGAGAGGGCCAACUUCUGUCUUUCCAUUUGUGAACUCUUCCCUUGGAUUAAAGCAGAGAAAAAGACACUAGCUAUUAGAUAGAUGGAUGGAGAGAGAGGGUGUGUGUGUGUUGUCUGUUGUGUGUCUUUUUCUUUUCUUUUUUCCUUUUUUUAAGAUUGAUGCUUUGAUUCUCUUCAGCUAAGACUGGGCCAAGAAAAGAAAAAAGUCCAAGUAACAAUUCAGCUGGCUAGAGCACAUACAUUGAGGAGAGAGUUAAAAGGGGAGGUUUCCAUAAUGAAUUAUCACUCAAUUCAAGCCGUCUCAGAUGUUGUAGCAAAGUAUAUGGCUCCAGAAGGUGGCUCAAGAUUUCUUGCAAACUCUUCUAAAAGGUGAGAAAGUGCCUUUAUUAUUAACCUUAGGGCAUGUAGCUUUAAAGAGUUAUUUUUAACAUUUAAACAUAAACAAUAUCAGUGCUAAAUAUAGGAUCAAAGAAAUAUUUUUUCCAUGUGGAGUUGCCAAAGCACAGAAGCAUGGCUGCAAAGUACAAGUUUCCUUUGAAGGGGAUGUUGCUAUCGAUAUUGCUUACUCAGCAGUCUAGUAACGUCAAAAUAAAGCACACAUAUAGAUAUAUAUUCAUUAUAUCCUGCCUGGUAUGAAAAAGGUUUUACUCCUCUGGUCUUUAAAAAUAAAACCCAACAUCCCAAACCAAAGCCUUAAGGGCUCCUUCACUAGCCUUUUUCAAAAUGAACACAUUUAAUGUAAUGUUUGAAGCCUGUGGUAUCAGAAUUUAUUUCUACAAAGUUAACUCUAUUUAAUAUCCUUGGCUCUAAGCUUAAUUUGCUAAAUAGUGCUGUUUUUGAAAUUUAUUGCAAAAUUAUUGUUCUCCAGGGAAAUAAUUACCAUUCCUCUUACUUCUAUGGUAUUGCUUUCCUCUGCAUGUGAAUUUAAGUAAAAAGAUUUUAAAAGCAACUCUGUGUUUUGAGUAAGUAUCAAUCAAGACAGUGUGACUCUGAUAUUAUAUUUGAAUUUAAGAGAAUAUAUUCUGUUCACUUGAAUAUCCAGUCUUUUUGAAUGAGAACAAUAGGAUAUUAAGAAUUAGAAAAGAAGCCUAAGAAAUGAUUGCAUGUAUCUAUUUAUGCACGGCCGUGUUGCAAAAAGAAUUCUAGGCAAUCUAGGAGCAUAUAUAAAAUAUAGUUACAUAAUGUCAAUUAGAAGAAGGCAUAAAGCAAAAAAGAAAACACCAGGAUAAAGACAUAAAUGGAAGCAGGAAUGGAUCUAACAGAAGCUCACAGUUAUCUAUAAAUGAAGCACAAAUUUGAGUCUUGGGUUUAGUAGUUUUAAGGUGAAAGCGAAAACCUGCACAAGAUUAUAUGCUCAUGAAUGACAGAGGUUUUCAGAACUUCAUGCAAGUUGAAAACAUUUUAUAAAUUACUGAUUUGUGAGCCAGAUACUUUCUAGUCUCCUCCAUUGAAUGCUGUGGUGAUCAUUGGGGAGGCAAAGGUUGACCGCGCUGCAUCUACGUUUGAAUAUUUUGGGAAUGCAUCCUGAUUCCCUUUUGGGGAAUUGCCUUCUCCCUAUUUUGAAGGGUGCUCUGUCUCUACCCCUCCCAAGUUCGCAGCAAUACUAAACCUUAAGCAGACUGUGCCAUGGCAGGAGGGGGAAAUGGCUCUGACUGCUUCCCUCCCAGCGGUUGUGUGCUACCAACAAAGUGACUGGUUUGCACUAGUGCCCUGUUUCCAGUUCUUCUCAGAGCCUCGUUCUCCCGCUUUCUCAUCAGUUCUUUAAGCCAUCCAAGAAUCAUCCAGUAAAUUUCUUUUCUGCUCAAGUUAAGUUCAGUGGCCUGCAACUACAGAACACUAAAUGAAAUACAGAUAGGCCAGGCAACUCAAAUGCAGAUGGGUUAAAUGACACGGCUGGGCCCCAUUGGGAAUUUUUGGUAAAGUUAAGUGUGGAACCCUGAGAAUCUAAUGCCCAGUUUAUGGCCAUUGUCAUUCUACUCAGUGCAAACUAUCUAAAGUGGAAAUAGUCAUUGGUGAAGAACAUUUCUGUCUACAGCAAGAAUAUCUGCCAAAGAGUAUGUAUUUUCCCUCUUCAUCAAAGCUCUUAGUAGUUCUCUUUCCUCUGCAGGGCAUGGAUGUAUUUAAGAAAAGAUUUUGGAGCACUGUACCGCCAGACACCCACUUUCAGUAUCAGACCUAAACAUUGUUAUUAAUGUCAUGACACCUUCUGUUUGCCCUGAUAGGUAAUGCCUAACUUCAACAUUAUUAAAACCCAACACGUGAGUGAAUAAUGCUUUAUAUUUUAUAAAGAGUUUAGUGUUUCUGAUGAGAAUUAUUUCCCCCUUUAAGAGUUCUGGGCUGAAAAGCUAAUGGAAUAAGAACUAUUGAGUAUCCAGAGCAGUGGGGAGGGCCCAUGAAGCCACAGGGCAUGUGCCCAGUGGUGUCCUGGUAAAUGUUUCACAACAGACUCUCCAAAAGAGAAAGAAGAAAAACAAAGCCCUGAUUCGUAGUGCUUACACAUUUCGGUGGUAUGAAGACUCCUACCAUGGCCAAGGUCGAGCUACCAGCAUGAUGUCACUGCACGUGGAAUUGGGAAGAGAUAUGCACCAAGAGCUCUCAAAGCUGGUGCAAACAGGCUCCAGUGCACCACUGGAAGGUUUUUCUAGAUACUUCUCCUUCAGCUGAGCCCAAGGAAGGACCUUGAAGGACCCAACCAUCUGUUACUUUUAUGACAUAUGUUCUUCUGGAGGCUGCUGUCUGUAAAUCAGUCAACUAACCAAUGGGCAAUAGGAGUCUCUCUCUCUUCUCCUAUCUGAGAAUCUUCCUCUGGAACAUCAGAAGGAACAGAAGUGAUUCAUCAUGAAUGAAUGUCUUAUAGGAAGAACAUCUUUAGUUUCCUUUCAAGAGAAAGUUUGCAUUUAAAGGCAGUGAUCUGCUUUGUCUGUAAACAAAACAAACAAAAAUCCAAAUGAGUUGAAGAAACGCUAUGUUAUAUUGCAGGAAAAAAAUCCCAGCUCAAAGGCAAAGUGUCUGGAAGUGCACUAUGAGGCAGUCAAGUGAUGGUGAAGAGCAUGGGUCCUAACUCCAGCUCUCUGGAUAUGAACGCCAGCUCUGCUUUUUACCAGGAGCAUCUGCCCUUGGGCCAGUAACUUGGGUUUCAAAACCUCAGGUUGCUCCUCUGCAAGAUGGAAAUGAUAAUAGAGUCUCCAUGAAAACUUAGAUAGACAAUGCAAAUAAAGGACUUAGCACAGGGCCUGACUUGUGGUAACUUGUUCCUGUUACUACUCCGUGAUUGUCCAGUCUGCCCUUGUCACUGGCUUGGCGUGUUUGGGUUUCCUUUUCUAAGAUGUGGCAGCAGCCAUUAGAGUCCAUUCACCCCCGAAAAAGGAAUGGUAAAUGGGUGGUUAGGAGAAAGCCAGUCCUAGCAGAGUGCUUUCCAUGGGCAAAAGAACACGAUGACAGGCACCAACGAGGCAUUCCUCCCCACCUCGUGGGAAAGAGCACAUGCCUGGAACAGGUGCAGUCACAGGAGCCCCAGGAGGGGAUGGCCAAGAGGAUGAAACUUCCAUUAUCAGGGUUUGGCUGAAAACCAUCAGAGCCACAUCUCCAGUGGAACUUGUAACUGCUUACUCAUCUCAAAUAACUUAAAGCAUGUCAUCACCAUUCCCGGCCGCAGGAAUGAAGCCUGCCACAGAGUGGGGAUCUGUUUUCUUCCUUAAAGCUCUCGGAGUGUUCUGCUUCAAUUCCCUGCAUGGGAUGUAGAUAUAUUAAACACACACAGAAAAUGACCAUAAAGUGAACAUUAAGGCUGAGAAAUGGGGUCCAAGGAUGCCAAGAAAUUCAGAAGUAAGUGUUCCCCCGGCAGUUCUAACUCAGCCAUCUUUGCAGUAAUGCAUCCUUUCCGAUUUCUGAAUCCUCAGUGGAAUGCCCACUUCAUAUGGACUCUGGAUCCUUCCACUAAGCCAGGGGAGGAAUAUUUGGGGUCUCUCUCGCUCCUUCUCACUUCCCCAGGUCAUGGGAAAAUCUUGUCUAGGACCCUUCCACUGAGCCCUCGAAUGAAGCCAGGCAUAGCAAUGCACUCUCAAGAGCUGGGAGGGCGGGUGAUGGGGGAGUAGCUCAGCCCCAGGAAGCUGGACCAGUUCCCUUCCCUGGCCCCUCCCUGAGAGCCAGGAGGCUACUCCUGGCUCCACACAGCAAAUGUAUCCACCCAGAUAUCCAGGAUGCAUUAGUGGUUCGACACAACUGAUGUGCUCAGGCACCUCCGGGGUACAUUAGUUGAAGUGGCUACAGCAGCUGGUGGCUCCUCUUCAGGCAUAAUUUAUCUAUUGCACUUCACUUAAUGUGCAAAAUUAAAUUUAUGCUGAAUCCAUGUGUAUUACCUACUGUGCAUGAGCAGCAUGAAAUAUACCAUAAAGCAAAUCAGCACAGAGCCAUGCUCUUAAUUGCUAAUGGCUUUCAACACACUUCAUUGUGGUCUAACCAAACCUGGAGUCCAUUCUGCACUGAGAAUCCUGCUCAUGUCAAGAAGUGAAACUUUCUGGAGCAUGUGUUCUUUAGAUCACACAUUCUGUACUUUCCACUAAUAUUGCAAUCAACAUGGUUUCUACGAAGGGCAUGAUUUUACUGAAAAAUAAUCAGUGUGAAAUGCUUUCUUAAAAGUAGAAUAUAGGAAAUAACCCCAAGAUUCAGCCCAAGUUCUGUCACUGCCAGGCUAUGGGACGCACUCUGGGUUUCUGGUCCUACACAUUAAAACACAGGAAUCAGAAUGGUUGAUUUCCGCCCCUAACAAGGAAAAGAAUCUACGCAAUCAAGUAUAGUGAAUUUCACAAAAACAAAUCUCUCAAAAGAAGCUUUAAAAAAUAUGGUGCAAAAUAUGUUUGCACACACUCUCACACAUCUACAUUCUCACAGAGUAGAAAUUAAUUCAAGUUUGAAACUUGAUUCGAAAAAGAAAUUUGGUGGAGGAAUCAGAAACAGAAAGAAUAAAUACAUGGGUAAUGCAGAAACUUAAAACACAAUUACAUCUUCUCCAACAGCAAUUAUUCAGUGUUUUUCAUAUUUCUGUUCUUUUUAAAGUAUGCUUUGUACAACUAGAGAGACCAUUUUCCAUGGAAAAAAAAUGAUCUGCUCUGCAAUUUACAUUUGUAUUAGGAAGUAUCCAUCUGUGGAAAUGUCAUGUUCCUCCCUUAAAAAUAAUUUGUUACUUUCCCCACAUAAAGGACAAUAGAAAAAAUAAAACCAGUGACUGUAUUACUUUUUAGAUGGUGUCUUUACAUAUUUUUUCAGUAGGUGACUAUUAGUAUAAAAAUUUAGAAAAUAUAUCAGUCUUUCCAAGCACAGUAUUUUUAUAAAAAUAAGAAAAUUCUGUUAGGAAGAUAUGGUGAUAAUUUUACUUGUUGUUCUACUCUUCCUCAUUUUGUUUCCAUGUCAAAAUCAGCAUAUUAUUCACCAAGAAUUUUAAUCUGACGUUUUAAACGUUUUCUUCAAUUUUAGUGCUUCUUGAUUUUAUGUGGUUUGUGGCCGAAAAGCUAAAAUGUAGAUAUGAAUUGUUUGCAUUCAUACAUAAACAUAUGUAUAUGUAUAUGUGCAUGCAUGUAUGUGCAUUCUUUCAGUCACUGUCAUAUAGAAUUACAAUUAAUUGAAUAAAUAUGCAUGUAGAAAUGAGUUUUCCCAUCACUUCUAUUUUUGAAUGCAUAAGUUAU